UACAGAGGGUGCAAGCGUUGUUCGGAAUUAUUGGGCGUAAAGCGCGUGUAGGUGGCUUUCUAAGUCUGGUGUGAAAGCCCGGGGCUCAACCCCGGAAGUGCACUGGAUACUGGGAAGCUAGAGGGCGAGAGAGGAGAUUGGAAUUCAUGGUGUAGGGGUGAAAUCCGUAGAUAUCAUGAGGAACAUCUGUGGCGAAGGCGAAUCUCUGGCUCGUUUCUGACACUGAGACGCGAAAGCGUGGGGAGCAAACAGGG
rnacentral:rRNA from 1 species